UCACUUAUUUUGCUCCCGCUAACCGAGACCUAUGGGAGGAUAAAUUACGUCUCUCGUACUACCCUUCAUAUACAACGUACU
rnacentral:ncRNA from 1 species